rnacentral:rRNA from 1 species
UACGUAGGGGGCAAGCGUUGUCCGGAUUUAUUGGGCGUAAAGAGCUCGUAGGCGGUUUGGUAAGUCUGGUGUGAAAUCUCCACGCUCAACGUGGAGGGGCCACCCGAUACUGCCAUGACUGGAGUCCGGUAGAGGAGUGUGGAAUUCCCGGUGUAGCGGUGAAAUGCGCAGAUAUCGGGGAGGAACACCGGUGGCGAAGGCGGGUCUCUGGGCCGAUGACUGACGUGAGGCGCGAAAGCGUGGGGAGCAAACAGG